CUCCCCCUACUCUGAGGUCUGUAACCUAUAGAUCCCACCUUUGAGGACCACAUGGCAACAGCCCCUUGUGUCCCAAAUACCCCAAGCAAAUUGGGGUAUUUAGGCCAAAAUUUGCCAUGUCUGCUUUUUGUUACUCAUGUUUAAUGACCUCACCCAGCUAAAAGCAAACCCUCCUAGCAGGGCCAACAACCCAACUCUAACAGGAAGGCCAUCCCCGCAGCGCUCAGCUCCAAUGCCUUCAACAACCACACAGCACGAACUCUUCAACCUUACAGCACCUGCUUCAGACAUUUGAUUAAUAUUUUCUUCAUAAGGCAUAUGAUUGCAAUUAGCAUUUCCAAUUACCGGGGGGACAUCUCUACAAACAGUCACAGAUGGAAGGACUGCUAACUUUAGAUUUUUCUCUGCAAGAACAAAAAUCAGGAGGGAAGGGAGAGACUGAUUAUAAAAAGCCCCAGCCCUGGUGAAACACUCAAAGAUUUUGGGUACCUGAGCCUCAUGCUGUUAAGUCAGCCCUGGGUUCUGGUACUGUGUGCUCUGCAGCACACAUCUGAGGCUCAAAGCACUCAGGACUCUCCAUGUAAAAAUGCAGGGCCAUUAUCUGUUCCUCAUUAGCCCAUUAAUGCUCCCCUAAUAGGGGUGUGCAUAUAGCUGAGCCCAUGAGUCACUCCAGGUCUGCUUCAAGGCAGCACGAAGCAGGCUCACUUUAAGCUGCCCUCCUCUUUUGUCUAAAGGACACAGAGCAAAGAGUGAAACCAGCACAGGGACACGGGCAGCACAAGGAGGAACAGAAGUCUGUCUUUGCACAGGUUUUAUUUUGCACAAAAUGAGGGUAAUUGGAAGGGGGGCACAGCCACGAGGAACCCACCCAUCUCCAGACUCACCAUCAGCCACGGCAGCUUUCACUGGCUCGAUCCUGGACACGAUUUCUGCCAGGUCUGUGAAGGAGGUGCUGGGAUAGGUCACGUUCUGAAACACAGCAUUAAGGCUGAGGUAUGUUACCAGCUGUCCACAGAAUACCCAAUUCAAGACGAUGUACAAAUGACACUGAACACACAAAAGCUCCAGACGUACGUUUGCCACGAUUUCCCCCUCAUUACUCAUUGGUGAGUAAUGCACUGAACAGUGACCCUGCAGCAGGGCUGUGCUGCAGACAGGCUUCCCAAGGGCAAGCAGGUGUUGGGAUGAGGUUCAACCAGCUCUUCUCCAUCCAUGCAGUAUGAAACCUUACUGAAAUGUAGGAAACUAUACAAAAGGCUACAAAGACAAGAACUGGAGGGUCUGAGCUCCGCGACACACAGUGCUCCUGGUACUUGGUUGCUCUCCACCACCACUCCGUCUUACUCUGUCAGAAGGACCUGCUGGGCCAGCUGCAGCCCCCAGGCAGACUUCUCCUUCCCUAAGGAGCCUGGUGGGAAGGGAGAAGGAUCCACAGUGCCACAGGAGCCUGCAGAGCCAUAGAAGCAGUGCAAGCAAAGCUCAGGAUGGGGGGAUCAGGACCUGGCAGGGGAGCCCCAUACUCAGGGCAGUGCAGGGGCUGGAGGUGCCGCAGUGAGCAGGAGCCCGAGGUGAGACAUCCACCUGCAAGGGGGAAUGCUGCCCACUGUCAUCCCUCUUUGUAAUAAACCCUUUCUAUUUUCACUGUCUCACCCAGGCAGUGGGUUGAGCAUUCUCUAUUUCAAAGAGCUGCUUGCUCUAGUUUCUCUUUCCAUAAGACCCAGGUUAGGCGUUUCAGGACCAUCCUGGCCUUCCCGCAUCCUUGAGGUGGGCACAGGUGACCAGGUGGAAACCCAAAUAGUCUUUGCCUAUCUUCAAAACCAAUCUCUUUCAUCAGCACAACAGCAGCCUGCCCCAGAGGAGAGCAGAGGUGAGGAGCUGGUGGGGACUCAUGAUGGGCAUGGAGCUGCCAGGAGUCGCUGUGAGGGUCUGCCCACGUGCUUCUAGCCAGAGCAGCUCCCUCACACAGGGUUUUUGUGAGCAAUUCUUUGCUCUUCUGGCAAGAGCAUCGGCACUGUGAAUCACACAGCCCCCGCAGGGUCACAGCAGAAGCCCAUUACAGCUGCAGCAGAUUGCUCUCAGUUGACCUCUAAUCCAUAAGCAACUUCUGAUGUGAUUUAGUACAGCCAUAGCAGAGUGUGGAUCCGGGACAAACAGCUGCUGGGUGCGGUGGACAGAGAAAGGCCCAAACAGAAUUAAAAAAUAGCAGCAUGAAAUGAAACAGCAGUGGCUUAGGACAUGCUUUGUAAAAUAUAAAGAAGUACAGAGGCUCAGAAUAAGGUCUGACCAUCAAGGAGCCAGCAGAAGAGUGAGUCAGUCCUGCUCUGCUGUGAAUAUGCGACCUGAGCGGUCCCAGCAAAGUGCCUGCAGACAGCCGUUCCCUGGGAUGGGAGGGAAAAAGCAUCCAUAUCCUCAUUUAGUGCCCACAGAGCACACAGCAGUGCUGGAGGCAAUCACCUGCACUCUGAGAUGUGGACUCACCACACCAACAAACUGAGCCCAAAGGCCUCACUCUCAGACUGGAGCUGCCUGGUGGGAAACCAGGUGACUGCCCAUCUGAUGCUUUGCAAAAUGGAGUGCAGUGUUUGAACACUUCCUCCGACACUUCUAAGGACAAAAUCACUCUCCCAUCGGUUAAUGCAAGGAAAAGAAGUGCCUCAGAUUCAUUCGAAUCCUACUCUCAAACUUCCCCGACAGUAUUUUCUCCAAGAAGGGAGAAAGUAUUCUCUUCAGCAUAAUCUUUAUUAAAUAAAUGAGAGUGGAGAGACGGUUACUAUUGUAGUCUGCUGGAGUAUAUUUAGCUUUGACUAUGAAUAACAUUUCAAUAGACAAAACUUCCCCGAGGAGAUCCAAUUAGUGGCACUGCACUGCUCUGCACUGGGAAGAAUUGGGGUUGUUCACAUGAACUUUAUGUAAGGCUGCUGUUGUUCACGACUUCGGUAUUUGCAUUUUAAGGAGAGAUAAAUAGCAACCGAAUGAUGAAAGCCAGAAGUAUCUAAAUGCUUAAAUAUCCAGAGAUUAAGUAAAAAUUCAAUGCUUGCAACAUGGAAUCAAGAUGAAAAGCAACCGAGCCCAACGCUCCAAGAUGCUGAACGCUCCCGAAAUAGCUGAAGAAGUAAAACAUAGAUCAAAACCUUUGCUAAUGAAAGCAAGUUAAAAAUAUCAGCUGUUAUCCCUGGAAGACAGCAGAGAUAAAGGACUUAAGUGACUCUAAAGGGCUAAGGAAAAAAGCAAAGCACCCCGGUGGGAGCCUGCAAUACCUCUUAUUUUAUAGAAAUUAAUCUAUUAAAACAAAAGUCAGAUUACGACGUCUCUUUGUCUCCAGGAGCUUUUGAGGUGCUCAGAACACAGCCCAGAGCUCAGCUCCAGGCCUGGGGAGCACAGCAGGCUGACAGCCUAUUGGACAGCCAUCCUCACACCCCUGUAUUUGCACCAUUUUGGUGCCCCAGCAAUCAGCACUUCCUGCCUCGUUACAAAGUGCUCACACAGAAAGGCAAUGACAAGCUCUAUCUACAAGCACUGCAUGACCUACUUGGCAGUGGAACUGCCAUAAAAAACAACAGGGGAGAUGAUGAUGAAUGUUCAAAAUCCUGCACGAUGCACAGCUGUAAUACCGUAACUCAACUGAAAUAUGAGCCUGAAUGAUUGCAUCCCAUCUCAUGGGCAAUUUUUAACGAAGUCUUCUUGGAAAGGUACAUUUGUUAAUGGCAGCAAAGAUGUUCAAGCUUGUUACCAGCUGGUGAUAAAAGAAGAUGAAACAGGACACAACCAUUUCUGAUGGACAUGCACUGUUUUCUGUCCCUUGACUUCUCCUUCUGCCUACUCACACACACAGCAGCAUGUGCCCAGCUGAACACAGGCUCAGAGGCAGAAUGGAGACCCCCCCACCCCCUGCACAGCUCAUGCCAACACAUCUCCUAGCUCAGCUCAUCUUCCCAGUAAAGGCAACAAGCUCUGCUACUCCUCGGGCUACUCUGAUCAUCAGCUCUUUUCUCACAAAGCUCAGCUCCUCUCUGCUCACCCUCAGCCACCACCCUGCCCAUCAGCUUAGGUGGGAUUAACCUGAUGGUAGCAGGCAUCAGCACUCACCCCCCCCAUCCCUUGGCAUCCUUCACAGGGGCAGAGCUGAGGGUGUCACUCACUAUCCCAGCAGAGCCAUUUUCAUUUCAGCAAAUGACUCACACACCCUACAAACAUUUGUCCCUCUCGGGUGACAAAUGGGGAUCUAAAGGCAACAAGCCAGAUGUGGGUGUCUGAAAAAUUGAGCCCUGCUAUUUGUUGUUAGGCUAAUGCCCAUUGCUCCGAGGCUUACCCUUCCUCUCCCCUUGCUCACACCACUUCUCUCCCAGCUGAAGUGCUCAGCCACCGAUCUCUGGAAGAGCUGCAAACUCUUAAUGUCAUUUUUCACCUCUAUUGACUCUCCUUGCUGAAGCUCACUACACUUACAAUGCAUUUUGGCAAUCACUUAAGAUACUACUGCUAAUUUCCCUAUCUCUAAAAGACAAUAAAGAAGAAUUACUGGGUAAAACAUGAAGCCUUUGUAGAACUUGGGUUUUAAAUAAGAGGAAUUCAAAGGAAGUGAGGAUAAUAAGCCAAUAUAUUAUAAUAUAGUUCCAAAGUCCUCAAAAAACUGGUAACAGUUUCUUGAAAACUGGCAAUUGAGGUAGCCCACAGUUACUGCACCAGCUCCAGAGGCUGAAUUUAGCGCUGGAAUUACAAACCCAAGAGCAACGCCUGAGAUCAAUACCAGCAAUCCCAACUCACAUCCUCUGCAACCAGCACUGGACAGCUGGUGGGAGAGCCGCUGCCUCAGCAGGGCAGCUUCCAGUACCAAGAACAAUACCCAGGCACAGCCCGAAGUUUGCUGAACAAGAACAAACAAAAAAGUAAUUCUUAAGAGGUCACUUGUUGUGUUAGCCAACAUUACUCUGAGACGUGCAUCCAUGCGAUGGGUACACUGUGGCCAUGCACAGACCAUCCUGCCCCAGGCCCUGCUGGGUCACAGUCACCCCUUCCACUGCAACUCUCAGGGCAGGAAGCAGCUCCUCCAGCAGCAUUUGGUGCCUGCAGGCUGCUGACCCACACCCCAGAAGGGAGAAGAGGAGGUGGACAUACACAGCUGGUGUGUGUGGAUGUCACAGAAGGCGCUGGUUAUGGGGUGAGCAUCCCACCUUCCCCCAGUAUUUCAGUGUUGUGAAUACCUCUGGGUAACAAAGGAAGCAUCAGUAAUCUGCUGGAACAAAACAGCAAGAGGAGAGCUGCCUUACAGAGGGCUACAUGCAUUCUUGGGGCCUGAGAGACAGUGUUGUGCUUGGUGAGGACAUGGGUGGAUGUCUGCAUGAGGUAACAGGGAUAGAGAUUUGUUUGGCUGUGUCAAAACCACUGGGACUCAGGUGGAACACACUUUGGUCACACUUGCAGCCGAUGAUGCAAGAAGUGCAGGACCUCAUUCUCCAUACUGCGGUUCAAGGAAAGAAACUUCUGAAAAACUGAUCACACCUCUUGUGUGUGCCACCUAAAAUACUUUAAUACGUGCAUCCUCACACAAAAAACCCACACUUGAGGCAAUCGUUCUCCCUCAUCUCCCUGACCAGUCUCUGGUGGCUUCAAGUAGCUCUUGCAGGGCAAUGCAAUUAAACUGAACACUCACAUCAGAAGUUUUGGUUUUGUGUGUCUCUUGUCUGUCUCGUAGCAUCUUGUCAAGGACGCCGCUCCUGGACCAGACACCAAACACAGUCUUCCCAUGUUGAUAUCCCACUUCCUGCAAGAAAAACAGAAUCAAGAGGUGAAAAAGGAUGAAAAAAAGUUGUCGGCAACAAAAAAGCCCACAAAUAUGAUGUCACAUCCACAUAACUGCUGGAAAUCCACAGGUCUGCCCUCAAGGGUGGAUUCAAUUUUUGGUGCUUUCCAGCCUUUAGCUAUGAAGACUACUCAGCCCAACAAUCAGUGGGAUCAGUUAAGCAAACAAAGUGCUAUUUUAAUUCUAAAAGCCAACGGACCCUCGAUUCCCCCACAUAGUACGUAAUUAAAUGCCACCUGACAGCAAUUUUUUUUACAGCAGCAGCAUCGAGCAUCUCAGUACAUGUAUGCAUACACCCUUUGAGCACAGCACUCUUCCAACACUCUUACUUUGUGUUUUUUCACCUCUUGGAUGAAAAUUUGGUCUAGCAAAGAAAAGCCCCAGUAGGGUACCUGGUGCACUCCUCAGUGAGCUAUGCCAGACAGCACCAAGCACACAAGAGCUGGUUUGCUGGAGCAGAUACAACAGCAGAGCCACACACUCCAUGUUCCACUACUUUAGAAGUCUAAAGUAGUUGGCACUUGGGACAGUAACAAGGCAUUGUCACUAGCAAGAAAACAAUAGGAAAAACAAGCCAAUUGCUCCAAGUUUCACUCUUCUGUUUUUUCUGAUCAGUCAAUAGAAACUGUGUUUAAGAACGAACUUGAAAGGACGGAACAACAGGUGUUGGGAGCCCUGGAUUCUAUUUCCAGCUCUGGCAGCAGCAGCACACACUGCGCCUUGCAGUGCUGGAAGCAGCCCUGGCCCAGCUGCUAUUGUUUCCCAUCUGUUUUUUGGACAGGAUUCAAAGCAGGGCACGAACUCAGGGUGGAAUUCACCUUCGAUCGAUCGCGGCUUCUCAGCCAAGGCUGGAUGUGAGUGCUCAGGAGAAGGGGCCCGACAGAUCUAUGGCAGCCCAAGUGUCCAAAAGAUGCUGAGCUCUGGGAAGUGACGUGCAGCCUGACUGCUACAGGCAGAUACAGAACAGGGAUUUUGCUCCUGAAGAAGGGAUUUUUGUUCUUUUGGACAAGCUGAAUUGCAGCCCUGUGUUGCUCGUUGCUAUUUUCUGUACAACCCAGGUACACAGCUGAAAUUAAAGCCAACAAAACCACCAACCCCAACUGCUUCACAGCCUGCAGCAAUAGGGAAUGCCCAGGAUGCCCUGUAAGGUCAGCACAGCUUAACCCCCCUUCCCCCAGAGACAAAGCUUUCUUUGCUGCAGCAUACGAAAGGGAACCCAGAAGGGUGCUGCUCUCCCCCACCUAUAGCACUGUGUGCCAAGAACUCGCUCACAGACACUGACACCUUUGACAAACUGCACUUUCCUCAAGCUUUUAUUCCACUGAGAAAGAAUUGCCUGGUGUCUUCAACUCUCUGUAACACCGUCAAAUUAGACAGAGAGUGAACAAGGAUUUGGCAGCUCACUGUUACUGUGGUGAUCCAUCAGCCCUGUCUGUCUGUCAGGGUUUUCAAGGGGCCAGGAGCACCCAUUGAGAGAAAAGCACUAUGGAACUGGGGAAGCUUCAGGACCCCACUGGCAGACCAAGCUCUUACCCCCAAGCUGAGACAUCAAGCAUCCUUGGGAACGUGGGUGACGCUGGAGAACCAGGCUGUGGCUUUGAAUAGCUGCUCUUUGGUCCUAAGGACUCUCUUAAAUGCAAAUCUGCAGGGCUUAAUUGCAUUACUGAUUUUACUCAGUGUUUAUAAGACAGCAUUAGGGAACAGUGCUGGGAAAGCAACCUGCAGCUUAAUGAGUACUGUGGCUUCUCAGCACAUCCAUGAAGUAGAGCUACUUAAGCAAAAAUGGGUGUCUUGCCUUUUUCUUUUUCCCCAGACUAGAAGAAGAGCAAAGCUAUGCAGAAACACCUGAACAUGGAAAGUACUUGCACAGCUGAAGCACAGAAGGGAAAAAGACAGUAAAAUAACUUCCUUGACAAGAGAUAAUGAGCCAAAAUUGCUAUCAUUCCCUCAAACCAGGCAGAAAUGUUUUGGUUCGCAAUGCUGGGUUCUGUCACUAAGACACCUCAAUGGCACAUCUGGAGUCGGAUCUUCCCAUGCUGAUUUCCAGUUUGUAAACAAACAGAACUAAGUCCCAAAGACGUGUAACCCGGUACCACCCCUCCCACUCACAUUGGUGCCACUGUCCCGCUAUGCUAUCAGGUGUGGAGGAGAGAUGGAUGAUAUGUUUUAUUAAUAGAAGCGUUGAAAUGUGAGCCAAGUCGGAUCUUUUAGUACGUUGCCCUCCAUUUCAAUGAUUCACAGCUUCCCCGCAGACUUCUUCCAAUCUUUCAUGUGACAACGAGCUCCAUAAUCAAGGAAGAGAAAUGACACCAUCUGACAAACCACAACUGCCCAACGCAACUCAGACACCAAGGAGGUUUCACCAAGCAGCUGAGUAAGAACCGUCAUAGGACAGCGAGGGAGCUGAUCCACUUGCAGGUACCAAUUUAGCCUGCAGAACGUCAGGCUGGGGGAGCUGCCUUCACCAAGGAGCACUUACACAGAUCUCAUCAAACUUCCCAAAAUCCAGCGUGCCGUAGCGGUCGAUGGGUGGCCGGAUGUACUCGCAGUAGUCGCUGCUCUUCACCAUCUCCAGCUGCCGCACGCAGCACACGUACGCGAGCCGUGUUUGGAUCUCUGCCAUGUUCGGCACCUGCCAAGCAGGACAGACACACCAUUGUGACUGGGUCAGAAAUGUCAGAGCGUGCUCUGUAUUCUCUGCAAAGAGAAUAGCCAAGGUAUCUAUCAGGCUUAGACCAGAAGCACGCAGAAGCCUGCUGAAGCUUCAAACGUCAGCCCCUCUGUUUUGCAGGCAGUGUGGAUGGAGUGUCCACAACCAAGAGCAGAAAGAGAACUGCCUUCACGUUUCUGCAGCACAAGAUUGAAUAGAAUCUUCCAUUUCAAGACAGGGGUGGUAACUUAAGAAAGAUGUGAGCUCAGGUGAGAGGGGCACAGUGGUCCUUCACAGCAGAAAUCAGUGAUGCCCUCUAUGUACCAGGGCAGAGACUUCACAGAACCACAGACUCGCUGAGCUGGACAGAGACCUCUCAAUACUGCCUGGUCUAAGCCUCCUGCUCGGGCAGGGGCAGCUGAGAAGGCUGUGCAGGACCCCAUCAGCUGGGUUUUGGUGCAGCUCCACAAGUGGACACUUCUCCACAGCCCCUCUGGACAACCUGCUCCGGUGUUCCACAGAUUUAAGGAGAGGAGACUCAUAAUAUUUCACUGGGCACUACUAAGAGGAGCCAAGGUCUUUUAUUUCAGCAGCCACACAUUCCCACUACAUGCUGGAAGCAGCAUGGUCAGCUCUGCUGAGACAAAGCAGGGCGCUCAGCAGCUGCACUGCCUCCAAAAGGGAAGCCAGGCUGCUUCUCAGGGAGAUGAGAGCUUUUCAGGGAAGAGAGUAAUUAGAGGAAAAACUUGAGAUUACAGAGCAGUACCCACAGUUUGUAAUAUUUUCCCUGACUUUGGGAAGCAUGUAUUUUAAUUCCAAUUGCCACAAGGCAACACGUUAAUAGCAGUUAGGAGAAGGAAAAAAAAACAGCAUUCCCUUGGGGGAGCACUGCAAAGCCAGAUGAUUUAGGAAAUGCAGGAGGAUAUACAAUAGAGCUGGCCUGACUGCAUGCAGCAAGAAAAAAAAUCAUACUCUGCAGCCCAGUGUGUAUACAUGAGCAGCAGUUGUAAUGUUAAUUAGUGCCUACUGCUGAAACCUCCUUAGUCAGCAGCUCAGAGAUGUUAGUACACAGCACAGAACUGGACAAAGUUAUUAGUUCAUCAGUGAAGCCUGUAAAUUCUGACUUUAUCAAACUAGCCACCUACAAGAAAAGGUUUCUGUGCUCUCACAAAGCCAGCACCUCUGCAGCCCACACUCCCCUCCCCAGGCAGGGCUCUACCCCUCUUCUGUGGUGGUCCAUUUCCCUCAGUGUCACAGCACUGCCUGUCUUACCUCACCCACAAGCACGUGCUCAAAUCCAAGAAACGAUUUGAUCUGUCACAGGCUGGUUCCUGAAUAAUCAAGAGAAAGCUUCCUGCUCUGCCCAUAAAACUAGGUGAUAUUGCAGUGCAGUCUGUGGUACCUUGACUUUCUCAGCCAGUGGAUUCCAUCUCUUCCACAGCAGCCACCAGCCGGACAAGCAGUCACCGUAGUUGGUGAGGUUGGUCUCAUCCCGGCUCCCCACAUCGAUUGCUAUCACCACCUUUGCACCCAUGGACCUCGCCACAUCAGCUAGUGGGGAAAAAAAGGUCACAUCAGUACACUUCCAACAACGAUGUCAACUCUGGUGCUGCACAGACACAGCUUACAUAGGUACUGCUCAGCAAGACAGAACCUGACAUGGGGCACACCAUGGGUAUCUCUUUGAACAGCUCCAGAUGUAAGCGUUUGCAGCACAUCUGUCACAACACCACUUCCCCAGGUCCAUUCCAACUGUGAGAUCUCAGUCUGCAGCACAGAGCCCCCACUUAACAGCAGGGCGAGGCCACACUGCUGAACUCCUGGUGAACACCACCAAGCGGGGAAGCUUUCCCCAGGAGGGCAGGCUGACCCGACUCACUCUGGCACCAUUAUGGCACCAGAGCCAAUGUGAAGGCAGCAGCAAACCUGCAAGCAGGGAGAAGAGAAGCACAGCACAAACACCUGGUCUGGUGCAACUGGGGGCAACAUGAAAGCGUGGCGGUUCCCACGAGAACAAAGACCUGGAGGACCUGGAGAGAGAACAAGCAGUGAUGGCCAUAAAGAGGAGUCAGCAGUGCAGAGGUGCAACCCCGCAGAGAGAAGACGAUGAAGAAAAGGAGCAGCAAAGGAAGCAGACAGCAAGGAGAGGCUGGGAGGAUUUCAGUCUGCAGAAAGCUUUGGAUCCAAGAGGAAGAUUCAUAUUUGAAGUUGGAGAGAAAUGAGGCAACACCUCCUACUUCAAGGUCGGUAGAAAGAGAACGAGCUGCAGCCUUUGGAUAUGGGUGAGAAUAUAGGAAAGUGCCAAAGGAGGGGAGAGAAGGACACACACCUUACAGAAUGCAUUACAUUUCCUCCACGCCCCCAGAGUCCAAGAUAGUUGCAAUUUCUAGAAUAGUUAUGCGUAGGAAAACCACAGCUUUGAAGAGCCAAUUUAUGUGCUUAAUUUAGAUACAUAUUUAAAUCAGAUCUGUUCUGUAACUUGGAUUUAUAUUCCUGGGCUGGUUCAGUCUAUUGUAUCUUUUCCACUUUGUGUCACUUGCACAUACACUUUGUGCACUUUCCAAUAAACAGCAUCUCAAUUUGCAA